rnacentral:rRNA from 1 species
GUCAUAUGCUUGUCUCAAAGAUUAAGCCAUGCAUGUCUCAGUACAAGCCAAAUUAAGGUGAAACCGCGAAAGGCUCAUUAAAUCAGUUAUGGUUCCUUAGAUCGUACCCACAAUUACUUGGAUAACUGUGGUAAUUCUAGAGCUAAUACAUGCAAACAGAGCUCCGACCGGAGACGGAAGGAGUGCUUUUAUUAGAUCAAAACCAAUCGGUGGCGGGUUCGCCCGUCAUCGUACAACUUGGUGACUCUGAAUAACUUUUCGCUGAUCGCACGGUCAUCGCACCGGCGACGCAUCUUUCAAAUGUCUGCCUUAUCAACUGUCGAUGGUAGGUUCUGCGCCUACCAUGGUUGUAACGGGUAACGGGGAAUCAGGGUUCGAUUCCGGAGAGGGAGCCUGAGAAACGGCUACCACAUCCAAGGAAGGCAGCAGGCGCGCAAAUUACCCACUCCCGGCACGGGGAGGUAGUGACGAAAAAUAACGAUACGGGACUCAUCCGAGGCCCCGUAAUCGGAAUGAGUACACUCUAAACCCUUUAACGAGGAUCAAUUGGAGGGCAAGUCUGGUGCCAGCAGCCGCGGUAAUUCCAGCUCCAAUAGCGUAUAUUAAAGUUGUUGCGGUUAAAAAGCUCGUAGUCGAAUUUGUGUCUCGCGCCGCCGGUUCAUCGUCCGCGGUGUUAACUGGCGAGUCGCGAGACGUCCUGCCGGUGGGCUUAGCUCGCGAGGGCGGCCCAACUCAAUCCUGCCGCGGUGCUCUUCAUUGAGUGUCGAGGUGGGCCGGCACGUUUACUUUGAACAAAUUAGAGUGCUUAAAGCAGGCUAAAACUUCGCCUGAAUACUGUGUGCAUGGAAUAAUGGAAUAGGACCUCGGUUCUAUUUUGUUGGUUUUCGGAACCCCGAGGUAAUGAUUAAUAGGAACGGAUGGGGGCAUUCGUAUUGCGACGUUAGAGG